rnacentral:rRNA from 1 species
AUUGAACGCUGGCGGCAGGCUUAACACAUGCAAGUCGAGCGGAGCGGCGGACGGGUGAGUAAUGCUUAGGAAUCUGCCUAUUAGUGGGGGACAACAUCUCGAAAGGGAUGCUAAUACAGCAUACUAAUAGAUGAGCAUAAGUAGGAUUAGCUAGUUGGUGGGGUACAGGCCUACAAAGGCAACGAUCUGUAGCGGGUCAGGGAGGAUGAUCCGACACACUGGGACGGCGAAGCGGCCCAGACUCCUACGAGAGGCAGCAGUGGGGAAGAUUGGAAAAUGGGGGUAACCCUGAGCCAGCCAUGCCGCGUGUGUGAAGAAGGCCUUAGGGUUGUAAAGCACUUUAAGCGAGGAGGCGUUACUCGCAGAAUAAGCACCGGCUAACGCUGUGCCAGCAGCCGCGGUAAUAC